GGCACAAGACAUGCUGUUGCAGUUGUGUUAUGUGACAAAUUCCUUGCCACAUUAUUGUUCAUGGCUGAAUUGGGACUGGGAUCCAAGCUGUAAAGCGGUUCCAGAAACAAAAGCUUUCAGGCAUUUGGAAGUUGCACACUGAGAGAUUUGUGAGUUAUACGUGGGACAAGGAUAGCAUCUACCAUCUGCCACAGGAAUGAAUCAUCAACAAGGUUGUUUGUGCUAAAGUAAGUAAGCUACCCAA
rnacentral:lncRNA from 1 species